UCAUCCAUUGCGUGUUAUUAACUGUCAAUAUAUUCAGCUGGGAUAAGAGAAUUUUGCAUUGGAUAAAUAUAAAUGUAAUCAUUCAAACCUCUAGAGGCAUGUAAAAAAAAUGAUUAUUGCUCUCAUUGAGCACAUCAAUAUGAUUAUUUUAAUUCUCCAGUUAAUAUUUUGAAGUUCACUUUAAUCCAUAUAAAAUACAUAUUACAAAAAAAUAUGCACCCCCAAAAAGUAACCAGGUGAUGCUUUGUUAUUGUAAUUUUGUUACCUUGUGUCAGAUACUAUGCAUUUAAGAAUGUAUUACAUUUGUUUUGGUUCAGAGUAGUAUUAUUAAUGAAUUAGACUAUUAAUAAUAAUAAUAAUAAUAAUAAUUAUUAUUAUUAGUAUAUAUAUAUAUAUAUAUAUAUUAUUAAUACAAUUAAAUCUUAGUGAUGACAGCAAUUUCUGAUUCAUUUAUCAAGUUUGUGUCCUUUUUUUUGCUGCUUUGAGAAAAUUUUAAAUGCUUCGUCAUUUGUAAGUCACUUCGGAUAAAAGCAUGUGCUAAAUGAAUAAACGUAAUUUAAUUUAAUGUUGGUAAUUGUAUGAGAGGAGCUUAUUCUCAGGUAAGGUCACUUUGUGCUAAUGGUAUUAGUCUAGCUUUGUCAUGAUCCUCUGGUAUAAUACAGCCCUUUAUGUAUCAAUACGAUACUGCAAAUGCCUAAAGUGUUUUUUUUUUCACAGUGUGACCCACUACAUCAUGUAUUCCUUGUUAUAGCUGUCAAUUCACAGUGAUAGUAAUGACCCAAUCACUUGGCCAAGUGCUUUCUGUGAUCCAGACCAGGGUGCAGCAUGAGUUCACAAACAUGCAUCAAAAGCCAGAGACCCUGACAAUGCAUCAAAAACUUCAAACAGCAUCAUAAAUCAAUUACUCAGUAUAUUUCAAAGGGGUCAGUCUUAGCCCAUCAGACCAUAAACCAGCAGGAAUGUCUUCACGAUGGAAUAUUUUAGUAUGAUGUACACACAGCAGAGCACAAAUUUGCAUCUGAUAGAAAGCAUAGAUAAAACAGUGUAAAUGGAUCUUGUUGACCCCUCUAUUCAAUGCUUAACAUGAUGCAUUUAUAUACAUAGCAUGUUGUCGUGAUCUUGUGUUCGGUAGGUGGAGGCUGUGGUGUUGGAGAUGCAGGACCCUAAGAGUGGAGUGAAAUCUCAAACCCAGAGGCUUGUCAUCACCACCAUCCCACAUGCCAUAACAGGAGAAGACAUUGUUGCUUGGCUUGCUAAUCGAUUUAGAAUAGACGCUCUGGCAAGUCUGUCUUAUUGAGAAAAAGGAUGAUGGAGACGUCGGCGAAGACACGAUGGUUGACGAUCGUCUCGAAGAUGUUGAGCGACUCAGAAAGCCUGUUGGUCUGCCGAUCCUCCAUAAGCACCUGAUCGUACUCGCUGG